AUGAGGGAAGAGUUUCAGAUAUGUGUUAUAGGAUUGGAGAUGGUAACAAGCUAUUCACAACUUAUCAGUCUUAUUCCAAUCAACAAAUUAAAUGCUUACAUCCCAGAACGAUCUCCUCCGCGAUGUCACACAACCACUACGACAUCGAAUCUGCCGCAUACAUCUCGUUGUCACAAAGGCGCAAGCAUCACCACCACUCAAACAUGGCCGGAACACGAUUUCCCUGGACAACCGUUUCCUCCUCCAACUACCAGAAACCGCUAG